UUAUUAAGAGAAGAGACACAACAACAAGUGAAUGAAGUGUUUCAGAGGGAAGAAGUGAAUCUAUAAGAAGAAUAAGACAAAGUACUUGUCCAGCUUGUGUGGAUUUGCUCUGCCUUUGCAUCAUCACCUGCCGCACCCAUUGCAACGUGCAACGGGUACAAAUGCUCAGGCCAUGGAUGCGCCAUUCUAGGGUUCGGAGCUUUCUCUUCCCAAUCAUUCACAUCUCCAUAUCUGGAACAAACCAAUCGUUUCAACCUUCCUUGAAGGAGAGAGUCUCUGAGCCAAAGAUCAAACUCUAAAGCCCAAGAAACCGAAGAGUCAGUAAAGACGUUAUAGCCACGCUUGCUCAAGUUAUGAGUAGCACUUCCAGAGCCAAUGAUAAGAACACCUUCCGCUUUCAGUGGAGCCAAUGACUUGCCCAUGUUGUAAUGGUAACUCCCAUUUUGAGAUGAUUGAACAGAGAGCUGGCAAACGGGUAUAUCCGCCUCUGGAUACAUCAACAUAAGAGGAAUCCAAGCUCCAUGAUCAAGUCCUCUGUUUGUAUCUUCAUCAACACGCUUCAUUCCUCCUCCUACCAUUAGCAGUUCUUUAACCCUCUUUCCCAGUUCAAUAGCUCCUGGUGCUUCGUACUUCAGCUGCAGACCACAAAUAUUGAAAACUGAUGCGUUUCUUUUCUUAAACGAUCUGCUAUAUCUGGUUAGGGUUUAGGACAAGCCCUAAGAUUGUGAGAGUGUCGGUGAGAAAGAGGAAUAGAGAGAUAGAGACCUUGUACAUGGGCUCAGGGAAACCAUUGAAGUCGUGGAUGGUUGUAUUACGGAGAACAGUGUUGACGGAUGGGAACUCGGUGUCCCAGUGUGCAGAGAUGACUAGAAUAGAUUUGGGUUUGUGUUGAAAAACUUUGUGAGACCAUGAUUUGAAGAAGUCUCUGGCCUCCAAGCUAUCGUCUAUGCUCAACCUGGGAGUUCCGUGAGAUAAGAAGAAUGUUUGGUUCAUUUUCUCCAUUGAGUCUCCCUCUCUCUCUUACUAUGUGUGUGUUCUUGUCUUCUUGAUGAUUCUUGCCUCUUUUUCACCUGAGUAUUCUCUGCCUUUCUAUUAUUAUGUGGGGAAGAAAGAUAGGGAGGGGCCACACCCACCAGACCCAACUGAGUAUACUUUACACAAUUACACAUGUGCUUUUCUGAAGUGGCACAUAAAUCAUCAAAAAGAAAGAGAGAGAGUGAAGAAAUGUUUUCGUAUGAGAACUUUUAAAGAAACCAUAAAGAAAAUGGCAUUUACAAAGGCGCAGGACAUGCAAAAGGAAAUGUUGUUUCAUCACCGUUGGAAGCGGAAUAUAAUGCACUUAUAGUAGCUAUGAAACAAUGUUGGAUACGUGGCUACAGAAAGGUGAUCUCUGAAGGUAAUAACAAGAAAAUGUUUGAUAAUUUACAGUCAAGAAAAUUGCAAUUUGGAUUGUACAAUUCGGUUAGAGAAGCAAGAUGGUGGAGCAGAAAAUUUCAGGAGGUUGAAUUCCAAUGGAUCAAAAGAACCGGAAAUGAAGUGUUGGACAAAAUGGCCAAGCUGGAUAUACCGGAAGAGGGUUUAUUUGAAUUUUAUUACUAUGUUCCUAGACCCUUAUCAUCUAUGUUACAUAACGAUUAUGUAAACUCAAUUUAAGAUAAUGCAA